rnacentral:ncRNA from 2 species
CCGUUCUCAUCGGGGUGCUUAUAGGCUGAGAUAUGUGAUCAUAAACCCGUAGAACCUGAACUGACUAAUAUCAGCGUAGGGAUUUGAGAUGGCGUGCCUG